GGGUCGCGCCUUCUGCGGUCGCCGCUCGUGUCCGUGCUCGAUAUAAAGGCUUGUCCUGCGGGCGUCAGGCAGUCGAGACUGACAUCUGCUGUGAGAAGCCUCUGUAUUCAGAAAGUACCCCAUCUGUCGCCAUGUCAUACACCGGACGCACAAGGGACGCACGCUUCAACGUGUCCAACGUGUGCAAGGACAAGGCCGAGAUGAAGGCCGAGGAACUGUGUGACGAGAAGAAGGACCAGGAAGUCCAAGACGCGAACGAGGGUGACACAACCUCCGUUGGCGGUGAGGGCAACGAGGGAGACACCGAAACCUCUUCUCUGCAUUCGAGUAAUUAGGGUCAGACUACACUCAACCACCGUCAAGAUAUUACGCUAUCAUUUUCUUCACCACGCUCAACCAGGGGCCAAAAGUAGAUUCGACUCCUCACUACACUCUCCCUUUACCAAGAAGUAACAAGGAUCCUUCUCUAACAUGCCUACUUACGCCAAGGUGUAUAAGUGAUCUUUCUCUCACAACACCCUACGUCGAAAACUAGAUUGGAUCUGUCACUUGCCACACUCAGAGCAGUGUAUAGUAUUAAUUUUCUCGACAAACUACCAACGGCCAUACGUAGGUUAGGAUCUGUCUCUCGCUGCAUGCUCAGGAAACAGAGAGAAUCCAUUUAUUUGAAGACAUGCGCGCCCAAAAAGGGGUCUCAGACCAAUUGUCCGGAAAUAUGUUUAUUAAAUGUUUUUUUUCCAGCUUAAACCUUCAUCUCUACAAUGUGAACAUCGAAAUAUUCACGAGAAUGCAUUCUAUCUCAGGAGUGUAGUGCAUUAAAGUGAAGAAACUGUUGUUUAUGUUUAUAGAUGAAAGCUUCAACCUUCAUCUAUGAGCAUCGACAUAUUCACGAGAAUGCAUUCUAUCUCAUGACUGUAAUGCAUUUAAACGAAAAUAUUGAUGUUUAUGUGUAUAGAUGAAAGCUUAGAUUAACAAUAUAUUUAAUUAUUGCAGUUGGCUUGGAAAAAUACCUUUGGACACGUAUUCCUUCGUUUGUUCUUCAUCGUUUUGACUGUCAGCACACGGCACAGAUAAAAACACAAAUAAAGCGAAGGAUUAA